CGAGGACGAACGCUGGCGGCGUGCCUAAUACAUGCAAGUCGAACGGUCUUUCUAUGGAAGCUUGCUUCCACUGAGAAGAUAGUGGCGAACGGGUGAGUAACACGUGGGUAAUCUGCCCAUAAGAGGGGGGAUAACAUCCGGAAACGGGUGCUAAUACCGCAUAGUUUUCUUGAUCGCAUGAUCGGGAAAGGAAAGACGGCCUUUGUGCUGUCGCUUAUGGAUGGACCCGCGGCGUAUUAGUUAGUUGGUGAGGUAACGGCUCACCAAGACGAUGAUACGUAGCCGACCUGAGAGGGUGAUCGGCCACAUUGGGACUGAGACACGGCCCAAACUCCUACGGGAGGCAGCAGUAGGGAAUCUUCCGCAAUGGACGAAAGUCUGACGGAGCAACGCCGCGUGAGUGAAAGAAGGUUUUCGGAUCGUAAAACUCUGUUGUCAGAGAAGAACAAGUUGGAGAGUAACUGCUCCAGCCUUGACGGUAUCUGACCAGAAAGCCACGGCUAACUACGUGCCAGCCGCGGC
rnacentral:rRNA from 1 species